ACCCAACUGACAUGAUCGUGGGCUUGGUACCCAGCAGCCUUGGCCCUGGCCAGCUUUGUCUGGCUUCUUGACCACGUUUCCUCUCAGACUCUUCAGUCUCUCCAAAGCCACAGAAAGAUGAGGCCGAGAAAGAAAGCCUUUGAAGUGUACAGAGCAGAGGGGACCAAGAUCCUUGUCCUCCCUGAAGACCAUGUGCAAGCUGCCACCUGCUUCACUUCCUCAUGCUCCUGAUGAGGAACCCUGCCUGGGCUUUCUGCACUUCUCACUGGAUUGUAAAUUCCAAGAAAAGACUAUAUCUGCUUCGUACAAAAUUGAGUCCCUGAAGCUUGUAACAGGCCUUUAGACCUUAGCACAACUGACGCCAUGAUGGAAGUGCCAUUCAGGCCAUGAAAACUCAGCACGCAGACUGUACCACCCGCUUAAACGAGAACAAAUAAUUCAUCAAAGUCCACAGUUCUGGGAAAGUCUCUAAUGUACUGACCUUGCUUUUUAUCUGCAGCUCCACUUUUGGCUAACUGUCCUUGUUAACUGAAGUAUGUCAACCCAGGAUGGAGAUAUAU